GCCACAUCACGUUAAAACACCGGUUCCCGUACGAUCACCGAAGUUAAGCAAUCUCGACACUGUUCAGUACCAAGAUGGGUGACCGCUUAGAAAUAC